AUGUUGUGUGGAAGGAGAGAAGGUUAGCAGUUCCCUUGAUAUGGAUUAAAGAGGUUCUUUUUCCCCUAUUAUAAUAAUUACAGAGUCAAGGCAUGGUCAUUGAAGCUAUUAACUGCAUAUUAAA